rnacentral:rRNA from 1 species
CAAUAGCGUAUAUUUAAGUUGUUGCAGUUAAAAAGCUCGUAGUUGGAUUUCGGAUGGGACUUGCCGGUCCGUCGUUUCGAUGUGCACUGGCCAGUCCUAUCUUGUUGUCGGGGACUAGCUCCUGGGCUUCACUGUCCGGGACUAGGAGCUGACGAGGUUACUUUGAGUAAAUUAGAGUGUUCAAAGCAAGUCUACGCUCUGAAUACAUUAGCAUGGAAUAACACGAUAGGACUCUGGCUUAUCUUGUUGGUCUGUGAGACCAGAGUAAUGAUUAAGAGGGACAGUCGGGGGCAUUCGUAUUUCAUUGUCAGAGGUGAAAUUCUUGGAUUUAUGAAAGACGAACUUCUGCGAAAGCAUUUGUCAAGGAUGUUUUCAUUAA